GACGAACGCUGGCGGCGUGCUUAACACAUGCAAGUCGAACGGAAAGGCCCCUUUGGGGGUACUCGAGUGGCGAACGGGUGAGUAACACGUGAGUAACCUGCCCUUGACUUCGGGAUAACUUCAGGAAACUGGGGCUAAUACCGGAUAGGAAUCCUUGCUGCAUGGUGGGGGUUGGAAAGCUUCGGCGGUUUUGGAUGGACUCGCGGCUUAUCAGCUUGUUGGUGGGGUAGUGGCUUACCAAGGCUUUGACGGGUAGCCGGCCUGAGAGGGCGACCGGCCACAUUGAGACUGAGAUACGGCCCAGACUCCUACGGGAGGCAGCAGUGGGGAAUAUUGCACAAUGGGCGGAAGCCUGAUGCAGCAACGCCGCGUGCGGGAUGACGGUCUUCGGGUUGUAAACCGCUUUCAGCAGGGGCGAAGCUUGUGGUGACGGUACCUGCAGAAGAAGCACCGGCUAACUACGUG
rnacentral:rRNA from 1 species